CACCUGGUUGAUCCUGCCAGGUGGUAUAUGCUUGUCUCAAGGGCUAAGCCAUGCCAGUGUAAGUAUGAGUGAUCCUAUACAGCAAAACUGCGAAUGGCUCGGCAAAACAGUUAUAGUUUCUUCGAUGAUAUACUACUCGGAUAACCGUAGUAAUUCUAGAGCUAAUACGUGCCACUAAGCGACGCAAGUCGUGGUAUAAAUUGGAGAUACAGACCAUCAUUUGGUGAUUCACAAUUUCUUUUCUGAUUGCACCGAAAGUGCGACGCAUCGUUCAAAUUUCUGACCUAUCAACUUUGGAUGGUAAGGUAUUGGCUUACCAUGGUUUUGACGGGUAACGGACCGUGGGUGCGGGAUUCCGGAGAGGGAGCCUGAGAAACGGCUACCACAUCCAAGGAAGGCAGCAGGCGCGCAAAUUACCCAAUCCUGACACAGGGAGGUAGUGACAAGAAAUAUCAAUAGAGGGCCCGAUGGGUUUUCUAAUUGGAAUGAGAACAAGGUAAACAGCUUAUCGAGGAGCCAGCAGAGGGCAAGUCUGGUGCCAGCAGCCGCGGUAAUUCCAGCUCUGUAAGGGUAUACCAAAGUUGUUGCAGUUAAAACGCUCGUAGUCGGAACUUGGCGGACAAUUUGCUUCGUCCUCACGGAUGGUAGCAAAUUGGCCGCCUUUGUGGAGGGUGACCUACUGGUUCUUUACUGAAUCGUUAGGUUGCUGCCACCAUUUACUGUGAAAAAAUUAGAGUGUUCAAAGCAGGCGUUUGCCGUGAAUACAUUAGCAUGGAAUAAUAGAAUAGGACCUGGUUUCUAUUUUGUUGGUUUGUUAGAAUCGGGUAAUGAUUAAGAGGGAUGGUUGGGGGCAUUUGUAUUCCAGCGUCAGAGGUGAAAUUCUUGGAUUGUUGGAAGACAAACAGCUGCGAAAGCGUCUGCCAAGGACAUUUUCAUUGAUCAAGAACCAAAGUAAGGGGAUCGAGGACGAUCAGAAACCGUCGUAGUCUUUACUAUAAACUAUGAGGACUGGAGAUCGGGUGGAAAUAUUAUAUGGUCCGCCCGGCAUCCUUCUGGAAAACAAAGUGUUUGCUUUCUGGGGGGAGUAUGGUCGCAAAGCUGAAACUUAAAGGAAUUGACGGGAGGGCAUCACCGGGUGUGGAGCCUGCGGCUUAAUUUGACUCCCAACGGGGAAACUUACCAGGUCAGGACAUAGUGAGGAUUGACAGAUUGAGACCUCUUUCUUGAUUCUAUGGGUGGAGGUGCAUGGCCGUUCUUAGUUGGUGGAGUGAUCUGUCUGGUUAAUUCCGUUAACGAGCGAGACCUGGGCGUGUUAGCUAGGCGCCAAUUACCCUUUUUGGUAGUGAGGCUAGCCUUCCUAAACGGACUGCGGACGUCUAGUCCGCGGAAGCUCCAGGCAAUAACAGGUCUGAGAUGCCCUUAGAUGUUCUGGGCCUCACGCGUGCUACACUGAGCGGGUCAACGGGUGAGGAUGUGCGAAAGCAUUUCCUAAUCUCUAAAUCCGCUCGUGAUGGGGAUAGAGGCUUGCAAUUUUCCCUCUUGAACGAGGAAUACCUUGUAAGCAUGGGUCAUCAUCCCGUGCUGAAUACGUCCCUGCCCUUUGUACACACCGCCCGUCGCUCCUACCGAUUGAGUGGUCCGGUGAGGCCUUGGGAGGGCUAAGUGGACUGUGUUUCACAGACCGCCGAGCCCAAAGCUUG
rnacentral:rRNA from 1 species